CCUUUAACAGUAUGCUGUUCCAGUUUGACUGCUAGGAGUGUAAACCUAUUCGUAUGGUUUUUCCUAUUCGGCUGUUUACGGCAUUCGUAUGGUUUCCUGUUCGGUGGAUUGGUGUUCUGCAGUAGCUGUGCCUGCAUCUCUGGAAAGGGGGACAAUCGCCUAAACGGUUUUUACCCCUUGUGUGCUGAAACGGUCCGUUACAGUAUUAACAUAAAUCUCCCUUGACAGGUCAUAUAGAGAUCACAGAAAGGUGGUCUCCAGAGAUCACUUGAAAGGGGGGAAAAGCCUAUAUAUGGCUGAAACAGUUGCUAAUAAAUACAUGGCAUUAUAUUAACUUGGAGAAUAUACCCAAAGUGGCCGUCCUGGUUAGACCAAGAUUCGCUGCACCAGAGUUUAUGAUGUUUUGGCUGGGGCUCCCGCCAUCCGCCACUCCGCCUGGGCUCUUCUUGGGGAAGCCCCGACCGCUCGGGGGGGGGGGCAUUAGAAUUGUUCCACAGGCCCCAUUCUGUGAGUAACUCCAUACCCUUGAUUGGGUCAUUCACCAUUUGGGUUUUCCCCUGCCUCCAGAUUAGCAGUUUGGUGGGGUAGCCCCAUCUGUAGGACACAUUAUUGUUGCAUAGUGUUUUAGUAAUGGUGAUGAAUUCUUUGCGUCUCACCAUUGUGGCUGCUGCCAAGUCCGCAAACAAAGCAAUGUGUUGAUGGGGGUCUGGAAGCGUGGGAGAUUUUCUAGCUGCUGCCAGAAGCGUGUCUUUAUGGGCAAAGUAAUGGAAUCUGACGAUGACCUCGCUUGACAAGCAGCUUGGAAGCGGGAGUCUGUGCAACUGCUCUCACCUGAAGUUAGCCACACACACUUUUUUUUUUUUUAAAUCUGGGGCCCAGAAAAAGUGAUCCUACAAGUUGCCAGCAAGAGGCAUGUGUCUUGGUUGGAAUCAUGCAUGUUGCGGUUGCCUCCAAGCUAGCUGGAGGUUGGACCGCUGGGAUACCCUGGUUCCCGAUGUUGGAGAGUGAGAGCGCUGCUCCGAGCUGCAUUCAGCAAUAAAUCCUGAAAGUGUAGAAUAAC